rnacentral:lncRNA from 1 species
UGGAAGGUGGAAUCCAGUACUCACUCAGUCAGUGUUUGGAAAGGCUUGUGGUGCUGGCUGGCAGCUCAGGGUCAUAGCCGGGUGGGGGAGGGUGAAGUUGCAGGAUAGGAAUCCUUGACUGGACAAUGAUAACCCCUCCAUUAUCCUUACCCCCUGUCCUCAAUCCUCACCCCACCCCUACCAGCCUGGGGACAGGUGCCCCGACUUCCCCUACUCCUCCACCCCAUCUCCCCCAGCUUCAGGGACCAGAGGGCCCAUAUUACAGGCCCCUUUAGGGUGGCCAGGGCAGACAAUGCUGGCUGGAAGAGUGGCCUCCUUGCCCUGUGGGGCUGAGGCACAGAGGCCGAGAGAAGCUAAGAGCUGGCCUGGGUGGUGGAUGGACACAAGGACCUGCAGACCAAACUGCCAGACUUUAUAACCUCCAGCCUGUGUCUCUGGACCGGAGUGGAGCUGGGGCUCUCCCAGCAUCUCACCACUUGGAGGCUGCUCCCUGCCCACAGGGUCCGUAUGGCCCCUGGGCCUCUUGACUUGAGAUUCUUGGCCCCUUCCUCUUCCCCAUCAUUGUGCUGUCUGUUGCAUUCUGGCCUCCAACUUGGAGGGAUUGCCUCAACAUCUCCCACCCCUGCUCCCCAUCCCAGGAGGGAUAGAGCCCACCCUUGAGCCGGAGGCUGGGCCUGGUCCUGCACUGAUAUCUCUCCUAUCCUUCAGGGGGGAAGGAGAAUGUGACUAGGGGAAAGGGUAGUCCAGGACACCUGGAAUCCAGCCCCCCUUCCUAGGAAGGGCAGCAGCCCUCAACUUCUCCGUGUGCCUCCCCUCUCCCAGGUGCCAAACAGCCAUAGGCCUCCUCCUGGAACUGCCCUGAGGCCACUCUGGGGUUGGGGGUUUCCUUGGUCUAGCCUAGGAAUGCCAGGAGGGAGGGAGGUCAGCUUAGGUGGUGUGCCUGCAGAGCUCUCACUGGAGAGCUAGGCCCUACCCAGGGCCACACCCGGAAGCCUUGUAUUAACAUCAAAGAGACUCAGCCUCCCCUCCUCCACUCCCCCACUGUUUUCCAAUGUUUUCACUGGAGGGCAAAAUUUUACUACUCAUCUUUCUGGAGACCAGGGCUGCUUACUGUCAGCCUGCUUUCUAAGUGAAAUUGACUCCAUUUCCCCACGUUAACCCCAAAUUGGGGCUUGGACCAAGGGAGGUGAGAACCCUCAGGUACCCUCCCCUUUCAGAAUCCAUCUCUUGCCACUUCCACAUACCACCCCGGCCCUAAGCCUAACUUUGUUUUAUUUUUUUUUUCUUCUUUUUAAAACAACCCAGUUCUAUCCUUUUCGGUUUCUCCUAGUCCCCUGUAAAUAGACCAUACCAUCAAUCAGUAUUUCUUGCCCCUCUCUUCCUCCCCUCGACGUGCCCCUACUCCCCCGAAAGAGCUGGCUGUCACAGUGCCCGGCCCCUGCACUUCACCCAGGCAGAUGGAGGGGGCGGAGCCGGGUGGGCGGGCCCUCGGUGUACUUCCGGUUUUGACCGGCAGCGCUCCUGCCCCGCCCUUGGAGGACCCCGUCUCUGUAUAUAAUAUAUAUAUGUAUGUAUUGUUCCUGGUUUUGUACGGACCAUGCCCUCUGUCAGGUCGUCCCCAUAAAAGCAGCCCCCAGAGC